AUUGAACGCUGGCGGCAGGCCUAACACAUGCAAGUCGAGCGGAGCGGCGGACGGGGGAGUAAUGUCUAGGAAUCUGCCUGGUAGUGGGGGAUAACGUCCGGAAACGGGCGAUAAUACCGCAUACUAUCAGAUGAGCCUAGGUGGGAUUCGCUAGUUGGUGGGGUAAAGGCCUACCAAGGCGACGAUCCGUAUCUGGUCUGAGAGGAUGAUCAGUCACACUGGGACUGAGACACGGUCCAGACUCCUACGGGAGGCAGCAGUGGGGAAUAUUGGACAAUGGACGAAAGCCUGAUCCAGCAAUGCCGCGUGAGUGAAGAAGGUCUUCGGAUUGUAAAGCACUUUAAGUUGAGAGGCGUUACCAACAGAGUAAGCACCGGCUAACUACGUGCCAGCAGCCGCGGUAAUAC
rnacentral:rRNA from 1 species